rnacentral:rRNA from 1 species
AAUAGAUACCCUGGUAGUCCACGCCCUAAACUAUGUCAACUAGUUGUCGGGGAAGAAAUUCCUUGGUAACGCAGCUAACGCGUGAAGUUGACCGCCUGGGGAGUACGGCCGCAAGGUUAAAACUCAAAGGAAUUGACGGGGACCCGCACAAGCGGUGGAUUAUGUGGAUUAAUUCGAUGCAACGCGAAAAACCUUACCUACCCUUGACAUGUACGGAAUUCCGCAGAGAUGUGGAAGUGCCCGAAAGGGAACCGUAACACAGGUGCUGCAUGGCUGUCGUCAGCUCGUGUCGUGAGAUGUUGGGUUAAGUCCCGCAACGAGCGCAACCCUUGCCAUUAGUUGCUACAUUCAGUUGGGCACCCUAAUGGGACCGCCGGUGACAAACCGGAGGAAGGUGGGGAUGACGUCAAGUCCUCAUGGCCCUUAUGGGUAGGGCUUCACACGUAAUACAAUGGUCGGUACAGAGGGCUGCCAACCCGGCAAGGGGGAGCUAAUCCCAGAAAGCCGAUCGUAGUCCGGAUUGUAGUCUGCAACUCGACUGCAUGAAGCAGG